AAGUAGAUUUUUUAAGAUAGAUUUUUUUUUAAUAGGAUAGAUUAGAGUCGAGUCCAACGCGCAGCAAGGCUGGAAUUUGUUUUUUGAAUAAUGGUGUACAAUAAAAUAUAGAUACUUAUUGAAGCAUAUAUUAAGGAUUAUCUAUAUAAACAUUUUAUCAUAAUAAUUUGUAUAGACGUACACAUAUAGGUGUAUAAAAGCUUGAACCCAUCGACAAGCUUCUUCACAAAAACCCAAAACCUUAAGACACUUGUUUAAUAAAAAGAUGGGUUUCAACUUCAUCUCUCUCCUUUUUCUUCCACUUCUAUCAGUGUUUAUCUUGUCGGGAUCCAAGCAAGCCUUUGCUUCGGACAAUACACUCCUCGUGAACACCGACCACCGCAACAGCACGGCGCAAGGUGGGUUGUCGUCACUGAGGGGGAAGAAGCAGAGGAGUGGAUGUAACCUUCCCAUCGACAAGCUUCUUCACAAAAACCCAAAACCUUAAGACACUUGUUUAAUAAAAAGAUGGGUUUCAACUUCAUCUCUCUCCUUUUUCUUCCACUUCUAUCAGUGUUUAUCUUGUCGGGAUCCAAGCAAGCCUUUGCUUCGGACAAUACACUCCUCGUGAACACCGACCACCGCAACAGCACGGCGCAAGGUGGGUUGUCGUCACUGAGGGGGAAGAAGCAGAGGAGUGGAUGUAACCUGUUCCAAGGCCGAUGGGUUUUUGAUGCUUCUUACCCUUUCUAUGAUACAUCCUCGUGUCCUUUCAUCGACGGCGAGUUUAACUGUGGCAAGCGACCUGACAAACAGUUCCUCAAGUACUCAUGGCAACCUGCAUCUUGCAGCAUCCCAAGGUUUCUACUUAACUAUGCACUUUUAGUUUUGUAUAUGUCCAACGUUUUAAACGAAACCUUAAAAUUGAGCUAAACACUCUACUUUACAAGAAUUUGAUUGGUGGGUAUUUCUAUAAUCUCAUUACAUGCACAGUCUAGAACAUUUUUUCUAGUUACCACAAUUUUUUUUUGCUAAAAUUUUACAAUUGUAAUCAACGUAAUCUUCUAUGUACGUUAUAUAUUGUAUAAUAAUUAGAAGUUGGUGUUGUAUAGCAUUUCAUUGAAGAUCUUUUAUAUUCUGUUUAGAAAUGAAAAAGAAGUAUUUUUAUCUUAAAAGUGAUUAAGUGGAGUAUUUUUGCAAGAAUAGUGUAAAGUGACAACGAGAUGUAAUAGGAAAAUGUAAACGCAUGAUGAUUAACAUUAAUUACUUAUGUUUUUGGUUAAUUACGUGAUUAGGUUCGACGGUGCGGCGUUUCUGAGGAGAUGGAGAGGGAAGCGAGUCAUGUUCGUGGGAGACUCACUGAGUCUUAACAUGU
rnacentral:lncRNA from 1 species